rnacentral:rRNA from 1 species
CCUGCCGAUAACUCGGGGAUAGCCUUUCGAAAGAAAGAUUAAUAUCCGAUAGUAUAUUAAAACCGCAUGGUUUUACUAUUAAAGAAUUUCGGUUAUCGAUGGGGAUGCGUUCCAUUAGUUUGUUGGCGGGGUAACGGCCCACCAAGACUACGAUGGAUAGGGGUUCUGAGAGGAAGGUCCCCCACAUUGGAACUGAGACACGGUCCAAACUCCUACGGGAGGCAGCAGUGAGGAAUAUUGGUCAAUGGACGAGAGUCUGAACCAGCCAAGUAGCGUGAAGGAUGACUGCCCUAUGGGUUGUAAACUUCUUUUAUAUGGGAAUAAAGUAUUCCACGUGUGGGAUUUUGUAUGUACCAUAUGAAUAAGGAUCGGCUAACUCCGUGCCAGCAGCCGCGGUAAUACGGAGGAUCCGAGCGUUAUCCGGAUUUAUUGGGUUUAAAGGGAGCGUAGGUGGAUUGUUAAGUCAGUUGUGAAAGUUUGCGGCUCAACCGUAAAAUUGCAGUUGAAACUGGCAGUCUUGAGUACAGUAGAGGUGGGCGGAAUUCGUGGUGUAGCGGUGAAAUGCUUAGAUAUCACGAAGAACUCCGAUUGCGAAGGCAGCUCACUAGACUGCAACU